rnacentral:sRNA from 1 species
UGCAGCUAUAUCGCCAUACGAGGGUUGC